UGCAAGGUGGAAAAAUUAAGUGUAAAGAAAAAGAACUAAUAUAAAAAUAAAGUAAAAAGAAAUCAAUAUAGGGUAGGGGUAGAAUAGGAAAAAGAAAGAAAAAAAUUGAUUAAAAAGUAUUAAAAAGCAAAAGAGAGUGUAAGUGGAGAAAAAAAGAGUGGGGAAAUCACAUCCCUAUAAUAUAAAUAGAUUAAUAAAAUCACGUUGGAAGAAGAGCAUGAGCAAACUAACUCUAUAUCAUAAAGGAAGUUGAGGACCUUGCCUCGCUGGAGCCAGCCCAAAAACCCGACACAAGAAAAUCGGCCUCAACCUUGGCGCUCAAACCUUGAGAUACCGUAACUAAACACAAAGUAGCAAUGUUUUAUCCAAUUUUAAUGCAAUCUAAUAUAAUCUUUUAUAUUAAGAACAACCCAA
rnacentral:lncRNA from 1 species